rnacentral:SRP_RNA from 2 species
GCUGGGCAUGGUGGUGCAUGCCUGUAGUCCCAGCUACUCGGGAGGCUGAGGCAGGAGGAUCGCUUGAACCCAGGAGGUGGAGGUUGCAGUGAGCUGAGAUCAUGCCACUGCACUCCAGCCUGAGUGACAGAUUGAGACUCUGUCUCAA